UAGUCCACGCCGUAAACGAUGGAUACUAGCUGUUGGGUUUCGGCUCAGUGGCUAAGCGAAAGUGAUAAGUAUCCCACCUGGGGAGUACGUUCGCAAGAAUGAAACUCAAAGGAAUUGACGGGGGCCCGCACAAGCGGUGGAGCAUGUGGUUUAAUUCGAUGAUACGCGAGGAACCUUACCAGGGCUUAAAUGUAAGUUGCAUGAUCCAGAGAUGGGUCUUUUCUUCGGACGGAAUACAAGGUGCUGCAUGGUUGUCGUCAGCUCGUGCCGUGAGGUGUCGGGUUAAGUCCCAUAACGAGCGCAACCCCUAUUCUUAGUUGCCAUCAGGUCAUGCUGGGGACUCUAAGAAAACUGACCCGUGCAAACGGUGAGGAAGGUGGGGAUGACGUCAAAUCAUCACGGCCCUUACGUCUUGGGCUACACACGUGCUACAAUCGGUGGAUACAAAGGGUUGCUACCUGGUGACAGGAUGCUAAUCUCUAAAGUCCAUCUCAGUUCGGAUUGG
rnacentral:rRNA from 1 species